rnacentral:misc_RNA from 1 species
UAUCAUAGGCCUUCACAAUAACGUAGUAAUUUAAUACAUUCAUCUUUUCAAAUUUAUCAACCUCUUAUAUUAGUUUUGUCUCUUCAAAUAUAUCACCAAUAUAUACAGGUGACGUGUUGUUCCACGAUAAAACGACCAUUUUUAUCUUUCUAACGGUAUCAACUAUAAAUAUAUACCAUAGUGAAUUAGUUCAUCUCUAUAACGUACUAUGACGCUGACGCUACUAGAUCGAAUAUUCAUAUUUAAAUAAAUAUGUAUAUCACUCUUUUUAGAAUACAGAAUCAUUUAUUUAACAAUAAGGUUACAAACGAGGUCAUACCCACAUAAAUGUAUUAAUCUAGAAAUACAUUCGUUCACAACAACCAUUCGCUUCAUAAAGGUAGAAAAUCCAAAUACUUUCCGGAUUUAUUUGAGGUCAUUAUCCGUUCGUAACAUAAUGAUUACGCACAAUCUACAAAUACCGCUAAACACUCUCUUCAAUUCACACACUCGGAAACAUUCUCAUAACACAAAACAUACAAUUGUUCAGUUUCCUCGAAAUUUAAAUUUAUCGGAAUAAUAACAAUAAUCAAUAGUUCUAUCUCACGAAUUAUUAUAAAUUGCAUAUUUACAAUAGUAUUCAUGCUCCUCUUCUCCAUUUUUCACCAUUACUGAACUUAGUCAUUUCUCGACCGCUUACUCCACACGUGCCGAUUCCAACUCGACCAUUUACAUUUUCUGGUGUUGCAAAUAUACUCUUCUUAAUCACACCUUUCUUAGAAGACUGCGUUAAAAAACAUAGUAUAUUAAUAAUUAAUAAUUAAAAAAUUUGGUAACGAUUUGAAAAAUGAAAAGUACUUUAUUUGUAAAUGCUAGCCAUUUGUUUUUCUCCAUUUCGCGCUCUUCUUCAAGUUCCUUAAAUCGCUGAAGUUUCCUCUGUUUCUUUUUUUUUAGAUAUUCUCUUUGUUUGUUAGGAUCUGAACCUGCUACUGCAGCAGCUUGCAUUUUUCUGAAAAUUAAUAAACCUAUCAUUCGUGAAACCACUAGUGAUAAAUCUACCAUGAUGUUUCCAUAUAACAUUUUUGGCUAAAAAUAGAAAAUAUGAAUAAUGAAUUCUGUAAUGAAUUUUAGCAAUAUUGAUUAUUGUAAAAUGAAUUAUAUGUAAACAGAAUAAGUGGUUACUACUACUUCAUGAAAUAUAAAAUCUAAUAAAUCGUUCCAUCUCUAUGAGAAUAAUGAUAAAAUAGAAAUAAUUUUAAUUCACCUAAAAACUUAUUAAUGCAAAUUAAUGUAAAUACAGCUAAAAAUUUACUUACAAUUA